rnacentral:lncRNA from 1 species
CAGGUAUGUGUAGCCAUUCCUCUCCUGGAGGCCUGCCGGUUUGCCAAGAGCAUGUUUGCAACAGCACUAUUUAAAACAAAAACAAUAAAAUAAUGGAAAGGAAUCUAAAUGGUCAUCGGUUACACAGAUAAAUUGUGACCUAUUCACACAGUGAAAUAUCAUACAGUAACAAAGACACAUGCUGUCGCCCUCCACGCCAUGGAUGUGUCUUCCAAACACCAGGGGAAGAUCAAGAAGCAUCUGUGCGACAGAAUGACAGACUGUCAGAGAUUGAGCAAGAAAGCAGAGACCUCAGCAGGAUACCAAGGACUCCCUCUUGGGAGACCCAGUCUGCCAAACAAAUCAAACAAGCUCGUAAUUGGUCGCAAAGUUGGUGGGGAAGUAUAUUCAUCCUCUGUGUUCCAACCCACAUCUAUCCUCAGGCAAGG